AGCCACUUCCGCCGCGCCGCGGAGGCUGCAGGGAAGGGAAAGGAGCCGAGGGCGGAGAGUGGAGGAGGGUGCAGGAGUCCGGGCGUUGCUGAGCGUUUUGUACAGGCGGGUGCAGGAGUGAUGAUGGAGCUAUUCUGGAGAACUAUAGAUCAGGGGUCCCCAACUCCCGGACCAUGGAUCAGUACUGGGCCAUGGCAUGCCAGCAACCAGUCCGCACUAACAAGGAAAGCCCCAUCCGCGAUAUGCAGGCAGCACACAAAACCACGCCCCCUCCGGUCCGCAGAAAAACUUCUCUCCACGGAACCGGCCCCUUGUGCCAAAAGGUUGGGGACCUCUGCUAUAGAUGGUUCAUUGUGUAGACACUAUUUAUCUUAUGAUUGGUCUUUGAAGGAUAGCAGCUUAUUUAACUGAUUUUAUUUAACUGAUUUUAAUAUUAACUUCAAUUAUCAUUACAUACCGUGGAUGUUUUAAUUUGUGUACUGCGGAUGUUUGAAUUAUGUAUCCUUGUUAUCCUGGCUAACUGCCAAGAAUCCUUGCAAAUUACAGCAGUAACCCAAUCUGAUAAAUAAAAAUAUAUCUUUAAACGA